rnacentral:rRNA from 1 species
UACGUAGGGUGCAAGCGUUACUCGGAAUUACUGGGCGUAAAGCGUGCGCAGGCGGUUUUGUAAGUCUGCCGUGAAAUCCCCGGGCUUAACCUGGGAAUUGCGUUGGAGACUGCAAGGCUGGAGUCUGGCAGAGGGGGGUAGAAUUCCACGUGUAGCAGUGAAAUGCGUAGAGAUGUGGAGGAACACCGAUGGCGAAGGCAGCCCCCUGGGUCAAGACUGACGCUCAUGCACGAAAGCGUGGGGAGCAAACAGG